rnacentral:rRNA from 1 species
AUUGAACGCUGGCGGCAUGCGUUACACAUGCAAGUCGAACGGUAACAGGUCUUCGGAUGCUGACGAGUGGCGAACGGGUGAGUAAUACAUCGGAACGUGCCCGAUCGUGGGGGAUAACGGAGCGAAAGCUUUGCUAAUACCGCAUACGAUCUACGGAUGAAAGCAGGGGACCGCAAGGCCUUGCGCGGACGGAGCGGCCGAUGGCAGAUUAGGUAGUUGGUGGGAUAAAAGCUUACCAAGCCGACGAUCUGUAGCUGGUCUGAGAGGACGACCAGCCACACUGGGACUGAGACACGGCCCAGACUCCUACGGGAGGCAGCAGUGGGGAAUUUUGGACAAUGGGCGAAAGCCUGAUCCAGCCAUGCCGCGUGCAGGAUGAAGGCCUUCGGGUUGUAAACUGCUUUUGUACGGAACGAAAAGACUCCUUCUAAUAAAGGGGGUCCAUGACGGUACCGUAAGAAUAAGCACCGGCUAACUACGUGCCAGCAGCCGCGGUAAUACGUAGGGUGCAAGCGUUAAUCGGAAUUACUGGGCGUAAAGCGUGCGCAGGCGGUUAUAUAAGACAGAUGUGAAAUCCCCGGGCUCAACCUGGGAACUGCAUUUGUGACUGUAUAGCUAGAGUACGGCAGAGGGGGAUGGAAUUCCGCGUGUAGCAGUGAAAUGCGUAGAUAUGCGGAGGAACACCGAUGGCGAAGGCAAUCCCCUGGGCCUGUACUGACGCUCAUGCACGAAAGCGUGGGGAGCAAAC